rnacentral:rRNA from 1 species
AAAACGACUCUCGGCAACGGAUAUCUCGGCUCUCGCAUCGAUGAAGAACGUAGCGAAAUGCGAUACUUGGUGUGAAUUGCAGAAUUCCGUGAACCAUCGAGUCUUUGAACGCAAGUUGCGCCCCAAGCCUUCUGGCCGAGGGCACGUCUGCCUGGGUGUCACAA